GCCUGGCUGGCUCGGUCGGUAGGGCACAUGACUCUUGAUCUCAGGGGUAUGAGUUCAAGCCCCAUGUUGGGCG
rnacentral:tRNA from 1 species